AGAAUGCGUCAUCUCAUUCUUUUUUUAAAAGGUCAAAUGGGGCGUAGUGCAUCAUUUUAUUCAUGGGCUUUUUGGGGAAUUGUUCUUCAUUUGCAAGUUCCAUUUCUUUUCGGCGUCCCCUUUUUUGAGAGAUCUGCACGUUAUGUUAUUCACUUGAUGUUUAGGAGAACUGGUCGGCAUCUUUUUCUUACUGAUAAUGAUGAAGGGGAGCCUCCACUGUUGCAGCACAUGGAGGAUGAUUAUGGUGACCUUUACUUUAUGUCUGCUCUGCGUGCAUUCAGACACCGAGUGGUAUAUUCUAAUGUCGGUUAUGAUCGUAUCCCCUUCUCGGGUUUUCUUGUUGCUGCCGUCUGUACUGCUGUUGAUUAUUUAUCUUGUCCUAAGCACCCUGCUUUUACUAUAUUUGUUUUUCAUGACUAAGUUUCAAUUAAGAUAUUGUUGGGUGGAGAACAUCAAUCAGACGUAAUUGUGAACUGCCAAAGGAUUUUAAUCAAUUGUGCCUAAAUUUAGGCCUACAAGCACUUCAACCUUUUGACGCCACUCGUGCUAGGAGUAGACCAUAUAGAGGAUUUGUUAUUUGUUAUUUGUUAUUUUUAAUUCAAGACCAUUUUCAAUUUAUU